rnacentral:tRNA from 1 species
GGAGAGGUGCUGGAGUGGUUGAACAGGGCUGCCUGCUAAGCAGUUGUGCUGGAAACGGCACCGGGGGUUCGAAUCCCCCCCUCUCCGCCA